rnacentral:lncRNA from 1 species
UUUUUUUUUUUUUUUUGUCAAUCAAACACCAUAUAUUAAUUCACGGACGAGAACUCUCUUCUAGAGAGAGCCAAUUGGAUACCGUCGAACUUACAUGGGAAAAGCAGAACUCGCAACCUCUUGCACCGUCAUCAUUUGAAACUUUUGUCAAUUGAGCCAAUUGGAUACCGUCGAACUUUCUUUUCCUCUUAUGCAUGUCAUCAUUUGAAACGUUUGUCAAUUCGAGGUGAUCAUGUGAAUAACGUAAUCACCAAACGUAACAUUGUAACAGUAUGCGAUGAGUUUUAUGGAAUACCAAAUGAAAUUAUAUAAACUAGAAAAUAUGCAAAUUUUAUAUAUAAAAAGAUAAAAUGAAAUUACAGAUCAAAUGCAAUCAACGAAAGCCACAAGAACAACUUAAAAGAGAAAUAUAAUAAUGAUCACAAAAACACAGCAAAUGUCCCACUCCCACAUCAUUAUUCAUUCUUUAACCAUUUUUCUUAAUCAUCAGUCUCUUUUACUUUCUUCUCUUCCUCUUCACUGGUCUUGGCAUGAUAACCUGGAAGCUUCUCUUUAAUCUUUUCCAGAAUGCCCUUCUUCUCCUCCGGAUGUUCCACCGGAUGCUCCGUCGUAGGCUCCACUGGAUGCUCCGUUACAACCAACGGUGUGCUGGUAACAGCUGGUGAAUCCUCUGGAGUCUUGUCGUGGUGGCCAGGAAGCUUCUCCUUGAUCUUCUCCCCUAGUCCUUUCUUCUCUUCCUCGGUUUGGUCAUGCUCCACCACACUCUCCGACACUGGUACCGGGAUGGUAGUGGAAACUGGUACAUCAUCCUCUGGUUUCUUGUCGUGGUGGCCUGGAAGCUUCUCCUUGAUCUUCUCCGCUAGUCCUUGCUUCUCUUCCUCUCCUUCAACGAUCUUCUUCUUCUCCUUCUUCUCCUCCCCUUCUUCAUCGCUCGACUGUUAGAUAUUCAAAUUUCAAGAACCAUGAGUAUGAUUAUUGGUACAAUCAAGAUCUACAAAACUAAUCUAAAUCUUGUAUAUAAGUAUCUCUUAUCAACCAUUUCGAUCAAAUCAAAUUUCAUAAAUUUUUACUUACAGAGGAAGCAGAGCUGUUGGAUCGGUGAAGCUUUUCGAUGACACUAGGCUUGUUCUCCUCAUCUUCCUCGGUCUUCUCUUGAAGCUCUUCAAGGAGAGUAAUCUUGUUCUCCUUCACUUCCUCGUGCUCCGCAGCUAACUCCGGUUCCGAGAUCUGAGCCUUAUGAUCAAACUCAGACUCGAGCGUCGUUGUCUCUUGAGGUUUCACUUCCUCUUCCUUCUUCCCCAAGAAAUCAAACAAUCCACGAUCCGUAACCUCUGUAGUCGUCGCUGGUGAUUCCUCUGUUGCGACCUUUGGUGUCUCGUGCUCGGGAACGUUGUUCUUGUACUCCUCAGCCAUAGUUAAUCUUGAUUCGAUUGAAAGGUUAACAGUAAACAGAAUAAUAUGUGAGAUUUGUGUAGUUGCUUUUAGAUUGUUUUGUGAAUGAGUAAUGUUUAUGAUGAGAGAAGAGAGAGCGGGGGUUUUUAUAGUGUCAAGAGACUCAAGACUCAAGAGAAGGGUCCAGGCCAACGCGGAGGUAACGCUGUAAAGAUUUUUUUUUUUUUUUUUUUUUUGUCAAAACGCUGUAAAGAUUUAGUUAAUUUAUUUAGUAAUCCAAAAGAUGGAUAUUUAUUUCUGGAAUUGCAUAAUGACCCCUUUUUCUUUAAGUCGGUAGAUGAAUAUCAUGAUAUCACCACCUUAUUUUUUCUUAAUUUAAGGAUUUAUGUUUUAAUAUGUAGAUGAAGAGUUAAACUAAUAUUAGAUAAUCGCAUAGUCAUGUACUUUUAUCUACAGGAGCUGUAUCAAACUAUAGUCUAUGGUUACGUGGUUGAAGUCCAUCCUUUUAUUCUAUUAUUUUAUUGCAUUUUAUCAAAUUAAAUAGAUAACAGAUGUAUAAGUAAAGAGUUUCAAUGGACUAGGAGUAUAAUGUAGUGGUUUGGAAUUUGAAUUUGAUGUUAUGUCACCAUCAUAUUAUUUCAAGCUUUUUGUAAGAAGAAAAAACAAAACACUAAAUAAUUUGUCUGGAAAUAGAACUUAACAAUUUUUAACAUUUUUUCUUGUUUUUUAUUUUAAAUUGUUUUGACCUUUUACUUUACUAAAAAAAAAUAUGAAAGAAAGUUCAAACUUCAAAAGGGGUGUUUCCAACUCUUUUAAGACUUUCAGGUUAUGUCUCUAAAAUUUAUAAAUAAAGGGGUAAAGUAAAAUAAAUAGGAAGUAAUUAUAACCGAAAUAUGAACAGCAUUAACCAGCCAAAAGAUCAGUAUAAAUGGAAAAAGAUCAGUAUAAAUGGAAAGACUAAUGUAAACAUUAGAAUAAUUUAGAAGUUAGAACGAAUUAGAAGAAAAACAGAAUAAUGUAGAAGGCAUAGAUGGAGCCAAUAUACUACUAACACGUGUCAAAAGAGGUGUAAGGGCCCCACACAUGGAACUGAAUGGUCGGCUUUGAUAGGCUUUAAGCAUAGUUGUCGGUCAUGUGGGCCAUUAGACACGUCGGCUAUAGCUAGAUUGCAGAUAUUUUGCGGGUAAAUUACAAACAUGGCAUUAUUACUCCUCUAAUAAAUUGCCUUUUUAAGAACUAAGACGUUAAUUUGUUCAAAAAAAAAAAAAAAAAAAAAGAACUAAGACGUUAACAAAAAAAAAUUAUGCAUCAAAGUAGAUUUUAAUUUUGAAAUAAAUUUGUCAGAAGAUAAACAACGGUAUUGAAAUAAUUAUAUUAUAAGUAUGAAAUUUUAGGUAUGUGAUGUCGUUUUUUGGCUUGUAUGAUAACGGACGAAAGCUUUAUCGUUAUAUUUAAAUAAGAUUUAACAGAUGGGGCAUUUGAGAACGCACAAUUUCGGAUUUUGCUUAAAGUUAUUAAAUUAUAUGAAUCGUGUUCGGUUGAAAGAUUUAAGACGUUGUGCCACUUGAUAAAUUGAGACGUUUCAUGAACACGCGACCCGUAAUUAACAGACCGAAUUUUAAAAAACUUAGGCAUUGGGGUGGUCACUCUACCGACACAUAAUACCAAACAAAGCAAUCGUUUUCGUUUGCUAUAUUGAUUUUAAUUAAUUUAUCGCGUUAAACUUUUACAAACUACAAUAUAAACAAAUUUGUGUAACCACAUGUAAAUUUACCUGACCUAAAAAAAAAACGAAAAAAAAUCUAACCGCAUUUCUCAAAGAAUCAUAUAGAAAAUGAAUUGAUCUUAUAGAGAUGUACUAUUUGAUUAGAAACAAAUGUUGAACCGAAUCUAAACCAUUAUCAAACCGGCUUUUAUAUAUUUUAAACUGGAAAUCUUAAAAAUUGAACCAUAGCCAUAUCAAAUACCUCGGCACUAAAAUAUGAUAUGCUGUGCCGAAAAUUUAGCAAUUAGGCUAUCAAAACGGAUCAAGGUCUACGACUUUCAAUUAACAAUCAAGCACAUGAUGCGGGUACGGCCCGAUUAUAAAGUCUAUGCACGGGUUCUAUAUAUACGUCAUGUAUACAAAAAAUAAGAUGGUGAGACAAUGAUGAUAUGUGUCUAGGCUACAUAUGUCUUGGUCAAAUAUAAGUCUAUUAUAAACUGAAAUUUUAAAAACUCUUUCUUUUACGAAUUGACAAGUCUAUUGCCUAGUUCACUCACUACUAAUAUUAAGAAGUAAUUAGUAUAUUCAUUUUUUUUUCGUCGUCUAAAUUUAUUACUAAUUGCAAAAUUAUGAGAACUAUUACAUAGACGAUUUUACAACUGAUAAUUCUUUCCGAUUUUUACUAGAUUCACGACAGACUACACUUCCUUCUUCGUGAUCUUGAUGAAUACCAACAUGAUCCACAACCUGGCGACACUUCCUUCUCUGCGUAGAAUCCUGGCGAACGGCUAUAAUUGUACAUCGUUGGAGAUCUCUUGCACAUUUGCCUCCAUUAAUAUGCAAAUUUGUUAAUAAAUCGCAAUAUCUGGGACUCGAACCCCAGACCUCUUGGUGUAGAAGCAUUAAUCAAUCCUUGGUCAACCAAUGGGCCAAGGGGCUUCCACAAUUAGUAUAUUCAUUUAUGUACAAAAAUACUAAUAAUUAAAUCCAUAAAUGUGAUCUUGAACUGGUCUAUUAUUAUGAAUGUAGCUAUAAUUUCCAUAUAUAUCAAAUGUUAAAUACUUUUUUUUUGGAAAAACUAAAAUUUUAAAUACUAACUAUAUUAAAUUUAGCAUGUCAUUUGGUUCAACGAAAUCCAUAAAGAAAAGUUGGUACAUCUUACAGUUCUCAUGAACAACAAUAGUUCCAGGUGAAAUUAUUGAGUCACCAUAUAUUUAUUUAACGCUAGCAUGCUUUCAUCUGAAAUUCUGAUUUUCUUUACAUAAACACUAUUCAUGAGAAAUCAUCCAUUUAAGCUCCAUUGAGUAUACGAUUGUUUCCAAUAGAUAAAUAGUUUUAUAUAAUAAACACAAAUGAUCUAUCACUAAACACAAACUUGGAUAACACAGCUUGAAAUACAAAAGAAAAGAGAUAAUGAUCAACAUUAAAAAAAAAAAACACAACAAAUGUUCCACUCCCACAUCAUUAUUAUUCAUUCUUUCAUCUUUUUCUCUUAAAGAGACUCUUUAUCUUUCUUCUCUUCCUCUCCACUAGUCUUGGCAUGAUAACCUGGAAGCUUCUCUUUGAUCUUAUCCAUAAACCCCUUCUUCUCCUCCGGAUGCUCCGCGAUCGGUGUUGCUGUUUCAACCAGCGGUGCGGUGUUGACGACCUGUGACUCCUCUGGUUUCUUGCUGUGGCCUGGAAGCUUCUCUUUGAUCUUAUCCAUUAAUCCUUUCUUCUCUUCUUCCUCUGGUUUUUUAUCGUCUACCAAAUGUGGUGCUGGCAUGGUGGUGACGACUGGUACAUCAUGACCCUCUGGUUUCUCGCCGUAUGGAAACUUCUCCUUGAUCUUGUCCAUUACUCCUUGGUUCUCCUCUUCCUCUGUUUUCACAUCACCUUCAACGAUCUUUUUCUUCUCCUUCUUCUUCUUUCUCUUCUCACCGUCUUCACCUUCUUCAUCACUUGACUGUUGAAUAUUCAGAAUUUCAAAACCAUGAGUUUGUUUCAAGAUUUAACCAAAAAAACUAUAAACGAAUCAAACUUUUACUUACAGAGGAAGAAGAGCUGUUGGAACGGUGGAGUUUGUCGAGGAGACCAUGCUUGUUUUCUUCUUCCUCCUCGUGUUUCUGGUGAAGCUUCUCAAGGAGAGUAGGCUUAUGUUCCUUCAGUUCCUCGUCUUCGUGCUUGGCCACAGACGGCUCUGGUUCAGAGAUCUGAGUCUUGUGCUCGAACUCAGAUGCGAGAGUUGUCGUUUCUUGAGGUUUCACUUCCUCUUUUUUCUUCAAGAAAUCGAACAGUCCCCGUUCCUUAACCUCCGGCGUCGUGGUUGAUGAUUCCUCUGGAACGUUGUUCUUGUACUCUUCUGCCAUAGUUAAUCUUGAAUCGGUUUAAUUAACGCUUAACGAGAAUGAUAAAGAGAAAUAUUCAAAAUUUCGAUUUGAGCUAUAAGUUGCUUUAUGAUAGUUUUCAAGAGCUGUGUGAUGAAUAUUAUUGUGAUGAGUGGGGUUUUAUAGUGUGAAGAAGAGGGUCCAGGCCAACGCGGAGGUCACACGCUGUUGAAGAUUUUAAUUAUUUUUUUUUUAAAAUAUGGCAAAGGACGUAUACUAUUUCUUACGUCGGUGGAUAAAUAUCAUGAAAUCACCACCUUCUUUUUCUUAAUUUAAGGAUUUAUGUUUUUAAUAUACAGAUUAAAGAGUUAACUAAUACUAAUUAGAUAUUUGCAUAGUCAUGUACUUUUAUUUCACGGGAAAUGUAUAGAAGUUUGGUAUACCUGGUCGAAGUACUUCCUUCUAAUAUUAUUUGAUUGUAUUAUUUAGAAUCUACUGUAUAGUGUAGUUGUUUAAAGUUUGAACUAGUAGAUGUGUCAUCCUCACGAUUUAAGGUAUAUGUUCGAAAAAUACUAAAAGGUUUAAAUAAGAGAUUUUUUGUAUUUAAAAUUUUUAGCCUUGAAACAAAACUGUAAAAUAUGUGAAAUUUAUAGACUUUUUAUAUUUGUAUUCAACUAGGAGAACUGGAAGUCUGUAGAAGAACUUCAAACGUCAAAGACAUGUUCUAAUACUUUUAGGGUUAUCUCUCUAAGAAAUAAAAAUAACGGGAUCAAAUUGCAAUAACAUUAAAAUAAAUAGAGAGUAGAUUUGACCGAUCUAUUCACAGGUUUAACUAGCCAUAGCCAUCAUGCCACGUAGAAAUAAAUAAUUGAUACUACCUGUCAGUAAAUAGAAAGACUAUGGAGGGAUCAAGCCAAUACAUGGUAGACACGUGUCGAAAGGACGUUUCAGGAGCCCACAAAUGGAACUGAAUGGUCGGUUUUGAUUGGCUUAAGCGUUGAUGUCGGUCAUGUGGGGCCGUCUGGCUUCUUAUGCCACGUCGGCAGAGACUUUCGGUGAAAUAACUUGACGUUAAUUACCUUUUUAAGACGUUACAAAAAGAAAGAAAAAACAUGCAGCAAAGUAAAAAUUUAUCUUUGAAGAAGUCGGAAGCUCUCGAGUCUCCAAGGUGUGGAGUAAAUUUAUUUAAGAUAAAGAAACGUUAUUGAAAUAGUUAAAAAGAAUUAAAUUAUAUGUUAUGUAUGUGGUGUUGUUUUUCGGCUUAUAUUACUUAUGUAAGCUUAAUUAAAUUUUUCAUUUUAUAUUUUAAAUAAGAUUGGACAGAUGGGACCAUUGAGAACGCACCAUUUCGGAUUUUGCUUAUAAUUUAAUAAAUUAUAAGAAGAUUAAUAUGAAUCGUGUUCGGUUGAAACUUGAAAGAUUCAUCACGACGACGUGCCACUUAAUAAAUUGUGACGUUUUCAUAUACACGCAACUUGAGUCACAUACCGAAUCUUUUAUUUUCGGCAUUAGGACGGUCACUGUACCGACACAUACCAAACAAAGCAAUCUUUUCGUUGCUAUAUUGAACAACAAUUAAUUGAUUGCAAACAAGAUUAUUUUGUACACCUAGUCGAAGAGUUUAAUUAGGAUAAGCCUCAGAUGGAAAUGGAAAUAUAAUAAGAAUUAGAACUAUCUAGAAAAGAGAAGAAUGAUCAAUAGAUCACAUAUAAAAUUUCAUCCAAAAGUUUCGAUAGUAAUAAAAAAAAUUAUACUAUACAUCUGCAAUUAUCCCUCUAAAAAUCUUAUUUUUGAGUAUAAUGACUUAAUGAGACUAUGGUACCCCAAACAUAAAACAAUUUCAUAGAUCAACAACACACAAAUGAUCCAACUCCAUUAAUUUCCGUACACGCAACGGCGAUUUUCCCAUAAAACGAAACUCAAAAUAUUUUGUUUAAUUUAAGAUCUCGAAGGGCCCAAAUGUGUAAAAUAAUACUUACAUCAUUACACUAACAUGGGCUUCUAAAAUCAAAUCGGGUUAAGAAACCGGAAAAGUUAUAACCCGACCCGGGAUUUUGACACCGAGACAGGGGAAAGGAGGAAGAGUCUACGCUAACGAACUUUAGACGAAUCGAAACAUUUUUUGUUUCGUCUCUGAAAAAAAUUUGAAUCUCCAGAGUUGUUUCCCGUUGUUAGAUUCAUCGAUUUCGAAAGAAUUGAUCUUGAUCGUGUUUCUCCGACGGAUUCUCCGGCUAUAUCAGUCGACUGAGAAGAAAAGGUUUUUUUCUUCUGUGGUGGUGAAAUCGGAGAAUCGCAGCAUAGGAAAGCGAUGAUAACAAGAUCGAAUCUAGCAGAGCAGCUGAGGGAAUAUCAGAUUCGAUCUAAGCAUGAUUGGGCUUCUGUCUCUUUCUUCUCGUCGACCUCGAGUUUUUCUUCUUCCUCUAGGUGAGGAUUAUUUGUUUUCAUCAUUCGAGAUCUGUGCUUUUUUUGCUUUCCAAUGAUCGUCUUUGUAUUUCGUACAGUUAUGUUCUUUGGUGGAUGUGAGCUUUGGUUGCAUAAUAUUUAGAGAAUUGGAUUUGGUUACAUUAAUUUUACAUUUGAAAGUUAGGGUUUGGGAGAUCUGAAUGUAAUGUUAACAUGAUCCUGAUUUAUAGAAUUAGAUAUCAUCUCUUUGUUAAAAUCUGGCAAGGGGAGAUUUUGGUUGUGUGUUGAAGGAAUGCAUAAUUUGAGUAAAGCAUAAGUUUUUCCUUUUAAGAUAUUUUCAGCUUCAUUGCACAUUAUAUCACUCUUUUACUCACAGAAGAGAAAAUUUGCAUACCCAGAGGAGUGAAUAAUGAUCUCUGGCUCUAUCAGGCAUUAUUUAUGGUAAGUCAAGCUAGUUGCACUGUGAAGACCUUAUUUAGACUUUGACAUUGUCAUUUCAGGCAAGAUGAAGUUAGUUCUGUAUGUAAAGUAGCUAUAGGUUUUCGAGUAUAGUGUGUUUACUUAGAGUAUUCAGUCUCACUACUAUUUCUGUUUUUGGUUAACUCGAUUGAAAAUAUAAUAUCUAACACCAUCCAUAUUGCGGUAUAAUUAUUGAAGUUUCAUUAUAGGAUCAGCAGCAGUUCAUGCUUAUCGUUGUGUGCUUGUGGGGUUUUGUGAUAUAUAGACAGAUACGAUAAAGAGAGUAAUAAUGCACCCAUGUGUUUCUUGUUUCCCUUCGAAUCGCCUUCUCACUCGUAUACAAUGUGGUUCAUUCCGUUUUCUAGCUAAGAAGGAGCUACUUAUUAUCAAAUACAAAAUAUAUCGUGUACUUGUCUUUCUCAGGAUACAAGUCCCACAUAUUACUGUCAUAAGAUUAUGUAGAGCAAACUCUUUGUUUUUUUUCUUAAGUAAAUUACACUGUAGUUAAUCGAUUUAAAUCUCUUUUCAAGAUUGAAUCCCAUUUUUAUGAGGUUAAAUUGAUCGAAAUUCUCUUCCUUCUUAUCUCUUACAAUCAUUGAUUGAGUCCUUUGUUGUUUGACUUUUACGGAUUAAGCUUCAAAUCUUCAUGAAUUACAUGUUUAUUAAUAAGCUUCUAUUUGGUUUUAUCCAGGGUGGAUGUUGUAGUCUUUGUCAUCUGGGAGCUAGUCAUCUUAGCAUUCUUUGUGUUUUCAGCGGUUUCCUUGUACUUCAAGCGGUUACAACUCGCAUUCAUCUUGAUAUGUGUCACGUUGAUGCUACUAAUUUGCAUGAAGGUCACAAAGCAAGUGAGGUUAGCCAGAAAGAAGAAGCGAAGGAUGCUUCUUCCGCUAUCUAUGUAAAGUUGCAACAUCACCAUCCCCAUAUGAGAAGUUGCAAUCUUUUUCUCUUACUUAGCCACAAAACUCACCUCCUGGUUCUCCGUGCUGAUCCAGUUACGCGUUUAAUGGAUGAAGAUGACAGUUAUGCUCACGGCACGGGUAGAGUGAGGCCAGGGUGGCUGAGCCGGGCGAUUUCAGGAUUUUAGAUUUAGAAUCAGACAAUCAUUUUUCUGAUUAGCAUUAGGCUGCAAUCUGGUUUUGUUCAGAGAAAAAAUACAUGUGUUCGAAAGAGUUGUGUUUCAUGUGUAAUUGUGGUUGUGAAUUUCAGACGGUUUAGGGUAAACGAAUGAGAAAAAUAAUAUUGAAGCUUGCAUUAUUUCUAGAAUGUCUCGAAGAUUAGUUUGUAAUUUGUCUGAUUUCGGCUUCUACUUGGUUUAUUCUGAAACAAUAAAACCAAUCCUUUUACAUAAUUUUUUUGGUUCAAUUUAUGGUUCAGACCUCAUAGGUACAUAUCACAAAGAUGAAGAUGCAGCAAAUAGAAAUUAGAACGGUGUACUACUCGGGACUACUCAUACAUAGUUGAAAAGUGAGGGCUUGUAGGAUUUCAUGUGACUUGAAGAAAAAGACGAGAAGAAAUUAAAAUAGGGGAGAUAGAUACACAAGAAAGUAAGAAUAGAGAAGUUGAGGACGUGAGUAUAACAAAGAAAAGCAGCAGCAAUUUGCUCUAAACGGUCACAUCUCACAUGCUCUAUUGUCACCACCACAUCUCCUUUUACCUUCUCACAAACUAAUACUAUGUGGCCUAAAUUAUAUGUAAGUGUUCUUUACCAUUCGCAAUCAAAAUCGUUUAUGCACAUCUUUUUUUUCUUACCUCAGUUUACUUUUUUUUUUAUGGUAUGAACCUCAGUUUACUUUAUUUAUUAGUUAUUAAUUUAAAACAAUUGUUUUAGUAUAUUCAUACAUAGUUUUGUUUAAAUAUCUUUCGUUUUUAUCUGUUUUCAGAUUUUAACUGACAAUUUCUUUUUUAGAUUUAACAAUUUGGUUUAUAUAAUACUAAUUUUAUUUUUAUCAUACAUAUUUCAGAUUUUUUUGCCAAAAAAAUUAUUGUUGAUAGAGAUCCAAGACAAUAAUACAUCCACUUACUCUCAUAUAGUAAUAUCCUUUUAACCCAAAUAAUGAAGAAUUACACGGCUACCUUACCCCUUCCACACAUUCCUAAUCCUCUUUUUGGGCCGCAAAACAACUACCACAAACAC